GACGAACGCUGGCGGCGUGCUUAACACAUGCAAGUCGAACGAAGUGGCGAACGGGUGAGUAACACGUGGGUACCCUACCCAUCAGAGGGUGAUAACACUAUGAAACAGGUGCUCAUACCGCAUUUGAGGCAUGGACGCGCGGUGCAUUAGCUAGUUGGUGAGGUAACGGCUAACCAAGGCCACGAUGCAUAGCCGAACUGGGAGGGUGAUCGGGCAAACUGGGACUGAGACACGGCCCAGACUCCUACUGGAGGCAGCAGUGGGGAAUCUUCCGGAAUUGACGAAAGGCCGACGGGGCAACGCCGCGUGAGUGAUGACGGCCUUCGGGUUGUAAAGCUCUGUUAGUCGGGACGCGGUACCGGAAUAGAAAGCCACGGCUAACUACGUGCCAGCAGCCGCGGUAAUAC
rnacentral:rRNA from 1 species